AGCCGCGGUAAUUCCAGCUCCAAUAGCGUAUAUUAAAGUUGUUGCAGUUAAAAAGCUCGUAGUUGAACUUCGGGGUCUACCCAUUGGUCAGGCUUAAUUGUCUGUACUGGUGAGAUGGAUCUCUACCUUCUGAGGAACUUUCAUGCCAUUUAUUUGGUGUGGUUGGAAAUCAGGACUGUUACUUUGAAAAAAUUAGAGUGUUUAAAGCAGACUAUCGUCUGAAUACAUUAGCAUGGAAUAAUGAAAUAGGACGGACUGAUUCUAUUUCGUUGGUUUCUAGGAUCACCGUAAUGAUUAAUAGGGAUAGUUGGGGGCAUUAGUAUUCAAUUGUCAGAGGUGAAAUUCUUGGAUUUAUUGAAGACUAACUACUGCGAAAGCAUUUGCCAAGGAUGUUUUCAUUAAUCAAGAACGAAAGUUAGGGGAUCGAAGACGAUCAGAUACCGUCGUAGUCUUAACCAUAAACUAUGCCGACUAGGGAUCGGACGAAGUUAAUUUUAUAAUGACGCGUUCGGCACCUUACG
rnacentral:misc_RNA from 1 species